UUUUAUGCCUCAUCCUCCACUCCUUCCCCAGCCUUUUAACUUUAGGCAUCUUUUUCUUUUUUUCUUUUACAAUUUCCCUAACUGCCCUCAUGCAGGUGAUUCUAGAAAUAACAAGGCUCCUGACAAAAGUCCCAAGGUUCUCCAAACCAGAAUCUUCGAAAGUCCUGGCAUCUCUUUUACUAGGAGGCCAAGUGCACAUGGCGAAGGAGGAACCUGCUUUGGAGACAAAGGUAGAAUCAGUGGAGGACCCAGGCAUCACGAGGGAGGAGAAGCUGAGGGGACACAAUGAGCUGGCUCAGCAUGGCCUCUGACCCCCCCUCAGCGGGACCAGUUCCCUGGCUCCUCUCGUGGUGCCCGGCACAGCUUUCAGAAUUCCAUCCCGAAGCCCAGAAUGCUGUUCUGUGACGUUUCCUCUUUGAGAUUCAAGAAAUAUAUGAAGAACUACCAGGUGCCAGGUAUCCGGAGAGGUGUGAUUACCUAGAAAAUUCCACAAUGCUUCUGUGAAGGAUAUUCAUCUGUGUGUCCCCAUUUUACGGAUGCGAAGACAGACUCCAAGCACUGAAGGGGCUUGGCCGUGAUGACUUGGUUACUGAGACUCGAACCCAGGUAUCUGGAGCGUGGUCCUAGGAUACGUCCAGGACACCUUCGCAGUCGAGUGCAUAGUAAUAAAAGAACAAAAACAUG